GGAGUCGCAAUGAAAAUAGAUUAGCUCAGUACACGAGGAUAAUCUGCCCUAUGGUGGAGGAUAACCCCGGGAAACUGGGGAUAAUACUCCAUAAGUCAGGAGUACUGGAAUGUCUCCUAACUGAAAGUUGCGGCGCCAUAGGAUGAAUCUGCGGCCGAUUAGGUAGUUGUUGGGGUAACGGCCCAACAAGCCUGUAAUCUUUUCGUGUUGUGGGAGCAAGAGCCCGGAGAUGGAAUCUGAGACACGAUUCCAGGCCCUACGGGGCGCACUACCCCCCCCCCCCUUUACAAUGCAGGAAAUUUUUUUUAAGGGAACCCCGAGUGCCCGUCCCCGCGGGCUGUCCCGGGUGUUUAAAACACAUCGGAAAAAAGGGCCGGGCAAAACGGGUGCCAGCCCGCCGCGGUAAUACCCGGCGGGCUCGAGUGGUGACCAUUUUAUUGGGCUUAAAGCGUCCGUAACUGGAUUUUAAAUUCUCUGGGAAAUCUCACGGCUUAACCUGUGAGGGUCUAAGAGAUACUUGGGAAUCUAGGGACCGGGGAGAGUAAAAGUCCUCCGGGGUUAAAUUGAAUUCUGUAUCCUUGGGGCCCCCGAUGCGAAGGCCCCUUCCAAACGGCUCUAAGGGGGGACGAACUGGGGGAACAAGGAUAAAACCCGGUGUCCCACCUAAUUGCGUUUGGUGGCUUCAUCAAUUUAGGGGGCAAAAAAAGACACCCCCGAAAAGCGGAGAAAUAAAUAGGGGGCAACAACAGGCAGCUACUCUAC
rnacentral:rRNA from 1 species